rnacentral:rRNA from 1 species
UAGGGAAUCUUCGGCAAUGGGGGGAACCCUGACCGAGCAACGCCGCGUGAGUGAAGAAGGUUUUCGGAUCGUAAAGCUCUGUUGUUAAGGAAGAACGAGUGUGAGAAUGGAAAGUUCAUGCUGUGACGGUACUUAACCAGAAAGGGACGGCUAACUACGUGCCAGCAGCCGCGGUAAUACGUAGGUCCCGAGCGUUGUCCGGAUUUAUUGGGCGUAAAGCGAGCGCAGGCGGUUAGAAAAGUCUGAAGUGAAAGGCAGUGGCUCAACCAUUGUAGGCUUUGGAAACUGUUUAACUUGAGUGCAGAAGGGGGGAGUGGAAUUCCAUGUGUAGCGGUGAAAUGCGUAGGUAUAUGAAGGAACACCGGUGGCGAAAGCGGCUCUCUGGUCUGUAACUGACGCUGAGGCUCGAAAGCGUGGGGAGCGAACAGG